rnacentral:rRNA from 1 species
UGGGGAAUUUUGGACAAUGGGGGAAACCCUGAUCCAGCCAUCCCGCGUGUGCGAUGAAGGCCUUCGGGUUGUAAAGCACUUUUGGCCGGAAAGAAACGUCAUGGGUUAAUACCCCGUGAAACUGACGGUACCUGCAGAAUAAGCACCGGCUAACUACGUGCCCGCAGCCGCGGUAAUACGUAGGGUGCAAGCGUUAAUCGGAAUUACUGGGCGUAAAGCGUGCGCAGGCGGUUCGGAAAGAAAGAUGUGAAAUCCCAGAGCUCAACUUUGGAACUGCAUUUUUAACUACCGGGAUAGAGUGUGUCAGAGGGAGGUGGAAUUCCGCGUGUAGCAGUGAAAUGCGUAGAUAUGCGGAGGAACACCGAUGGCGAAGGCAGCCGCCUGGGAUAAAACUGACGCUCAUGCACGAAAGCGUGGGGAGCAAACAGG